CCUACGGGUGACAGCAGUAGGGAAUAUUGCUCAAUGGGGGAAACCCUGAAGCAGCAACGCCGCGUGGGGGAUGAAGGUUUUAGGAUUGUAAAAUCCUGUUGUGAGAGAAGAUAAUGAGUGUAUGUCACGAAUAAGGACCGGCUAACUCCGUGCCAGCAGCCGCGGUAAUACGAAGGGUGCAAGCGUUACUCGGAAUCACGGGGCGUAAAGAGUGCGCAGGCGGGUUUGUAAGUCAGAUGUGAAAUCCUGUAGCUUAACUACAGAACGGCAUUUGAAACUAUGAGUCUAGAGUGGAGGAGAGGUAGGUGGAAUUCCUGGUGUAGGGGUAAAAUCCGUAGAUAUCAAGAGGAAUACUCAUUGCGAAGGCGACCUACUGGACCAUUACUGACGCUCAUGCGCGAAAGCGUGGGGAGCAAACAGGAUUAGAUACCCCUGUAGUC
rnacentral:rRNA from 1 species